GCAAGCGUUGUUCGGAAUUACUGGGCGUAAAGGGCUCGUAGGCGGCCAACUAAGUCAGACGUGAAAUCCCUCGGCUUAACCGGGGAACUGCGUCUGAUACUGGAUGGCUUGAGGUUGGGAGAGGGAUGCGGAAUUCCAGGUGUAGCGGUGAAAUGCGUAGAUAUCUGGAGGAACACCGGUGGCGAAGGCGGCAUCCUGGACCAAUUCUGACGCUGAGGAGCGAAAGCCAGGGGAGCAAACGGG
rnacentral:rRNA from 1 species